UAAUAGCCGAGGCAGUUCCGAAUGAUAUGUCAAAAAACAUGUGGCGCGAUUUGAAACAUCUCAAAUCAUAUAAACAAGAUCAACAAGGAAGGAAGCCAACACAACCCGUUAACACAGGACCACCCACAUGGAGCCCAGCAGGAUGCCCCCCAAAAAAACAGACCAGAGCACAAGGAAAACCUCAGAAGGGAUACAGUUAAAGUAAGACAGCAAGAUUGAGCUACUCCUGUACAGAACUUGAGUUACAUGUGUUCAGCGUAAAACUGUUUUGAAAGGUUCGUGCUUUUUAUUUCUUACUUAAACGUUUUUAUAAGGAUCAUUUAUAUAGUUUCUAAAAAAUUGGUAUUAACUUUUAACUUCUUUAUAAUUCUAAUUGAAGGUCUGUCAAUGAAAUAUUCAUCUAAAUAAAAUUACAAAAAGCUAACAGUAUAUUGUCAGAAGGUACUGAUGUACAGUAAACUGGCAGCAUUAUAAGACAAGUCUCUCUUGUCAUUCCAAUCCAAAAAACUGUAUUUUUUUUUUCAUUUAAGCUGUAAUGAGUGAUAAUUAGAGACCAAACUAAAAUGAGUUUUUCACACAAAUUUUA